rnacentral:rRNA from 1 species
UGGGGAAUAUUGCGCAAUGGGGGAAACCCUGACGCAGCAACGCCGCGUGAGUGAAGAAGGCCUUAGGGUUGUAAAGCUCUGUCAUAUGGGAAGAUAAUGACGGUACCAUAAGAGGAAGCCACGGCUAACUACGUGCCAGCAGCCGCGGUAAUACGUAGGUGGCGAGCGUUGUCCGGAUUUACUGGGCGUAAAGGAUGCGUAGGCGGAUAUUUAAGUGGGAUGUGAAAUCCCCGAGCUUAACUCGGGGGCUGCAUUCCAAACUGGAUAUCUAGAGUGUCGGAGGGGAAAGUGGAAUUCCUAGUGUAGCGGUGAAAUGCGUAGAGAUUAGGAAGAACACCAGUGGCGAAGGCGACUUUCUGGACGAUAACUGACGCUGAGGCAUGAAAGCGUGGGGAGCAAACAGG